rnacentral:rRNA from 1 species
AUUGAACGCUGGCGGCAGGCCUAACACAUGCAAGUCGAGCGGAUGAAGGGAGCUUGCUCCUGGAUUCAGCGGCGGACGGGUGAGUAAUGCCUAGGAAUCUGCCUGGUGGUGGGGGAUAACGUCGGGAAACGGGCGCUAAUACCGCAUACGUCCUGAGGGAGAAAGUGGGGGAUCUUCGGACCUCACGCUAUCAGAUGAGCCUAGGUCGGAUUAGCUAGUUGGUGGGGUAAAGGCCUACCAAGGCGACGAUCCGUAACUGGUCUGAGAGGAUGAUCAGUCACACUGGAACUGAGACACGGUCCAGACUCCUACGGGAGGCAGCAGUGGGGAAUAUUGGACAAUGGGCGAAAGCCUGAUCCAGCCAUGCCGCGUGUGUGAAGAAGGUCUUCGGAUUGUAAAGCACUUUAAGUUGGGAGGAAGGGCAGUAAGUUAAUACCUUGCUGUUUUGACGUUACCAACAGAAUAAGCACCGGCUAACUUCGUG